rnacentral:rRNA from 1 species
GUCGAACGAUGAAGCCCAGCUUGCUGGGUGGAUUAGUGGCGAACGGGUGAGUAACACGUGAGUAACCUGCCCUUAACUCUGGGAUAAGCCUGGGAAACUGGGUCUAAUACCGGAUAGGAGCGUCCACCGCAUGGUGGGUGUUGGAAAGAUUUAUCGGUUUUGGAUGGACUCGCGGCCUAUCAGCUUGUUGGUGAGGUAAUGGCUCACCAAGGCGACGACGGGUAGCCGGCCUGAGAGGGUGACCGGCCACACUGGGACUGAGACACGGCCCAGACUCCUACGGGAGGCAGCAGUGGGGAAUAUUGCACAAUGGGCGCAAGCCUGAUGCAGCGACGCCGCGUGAGGGAUGACGGCCUUCGGGUUGUAAACCUCUUUCAGUAGGGAAGAAGCGAAAGUGACGGUACCUGCAGAAGAAGCACCGGCUAACUACGUGCCAGCAGCCGCGGUAAUACGUAGGGUGCGAGCGUUAUCCGGAAUUAUUGGGCGUAAAGAGCUCGUAGGCGGUUUGUCGCGUCUGUCGUGAAAGUCCGGGGCUUAACCCCGGAUCUGCGGUGGGUACGGGCAGACUAGAGUGCAGUAGGGGAGACUGGAAUUCCUGGUGUAGCGGUGGAAUGCGCAGAUAUCAGGAGGAACACCGAUGGCGAAGGCAGGUCUCUGGGCUGUAACUGACGCUGAGGAGCGAAAGCAUGGGGAGCGAACAGGAUUAGAUACCCUGGUAGUCCAUGCCGUAAACGUUGGGCACUAGGUGUGGGGACCAUUCCACGGUUUCCGCGCCGCAGCUAACGCAUUAAG